rnacentral:rRNA from 1 species
AUGAGCAUGGAACCAUCUAGGGUCGUAACUUGCGGCCCGGGUUGGUCCAUGGAAGAAGCAGCUGCUUGGAGUAGUGAUGAUAGAAUUAGUUUCCAAACAUCAUUGCCUAGCCAUAGUGAUAGCGUGCAGCUGCAGGUGGUUGAGUAUGCAGCCCCAGCCCCAGCCCCAGCCACACACGAUAAGGACUGUAGUUAUCCAAUCCAGGUGUUCAAGGAAGCAGAGCAAGCGUUCCAUGCUGACUAUUCCCUUGACAGUAUGGAACAGAAGAUACACAGGUUCCCUCCAAGCCUGGUGGAUGUCCUCGACCGGUACAAGGUCCCGGUGACUGUGGCCAUCGGCCCUUACCACCACGGUAGUCAUUCCGGCGUGAUGGAGGCGGAGAGGGUGAAGCAUAUGGCUGCUAACCAAUGUAUCAAGGACUCAGGCCGCUCACUCCAGGAGAUGUACAACGAAGUCUCCUUCGUGUCACAGGUCGCCCGCAGCCGCUACUACGACGUGGCGAGUCUCAGGGAGGACGACUUUUUGCCGAUGAUGUUCUUUGAUGCUUGCUUCUUGGUGCAGUUCAUGCGUAGUUAUGACGAGGACAGCGGCCACAUGGAUGACGCGUUGCUCGGCUAUUUCUACGCCAACUUCGAGCGCAUCUACACUGACAUCAUGAUGCUUGAGAAUCAGAUCCCUUGGGUGGUGGUUAAAACCAUCUUGAGCUUCAUGCUGCCAGAGCCCUCUCUCUGGCCCUUGAAGAAGUUCAUCGUUGCGAUGAGAAGCUGCCUGAAAAACCAAGGCGAUGAGAAGCAAAUCGAGAAGGACGACAUCAUCGUAGAUCCUGGCUAUGAACCGCCGCAUCUCCUCGGCCUCGUCUGGUUCUACAUCGUGGGAGAAAACAAGAAGGGCGAGAUGCCCAUUGGAGACCAGCCCAUGUCAUUAUCUAUGAGCGUCGCCGAGCUUCUCGACGUUGGUAUCACGCUCGUACCAAAGACGGAAACAGAAGCAGGGCUAGUGGACAUGGGCCUUGAAAGGAAACAUCACUUCUUCGGCGUUCUCUCCGUGCCGCCCCUGUGCCUGACUGACGCAAAUGCGACCUGGCUCGUCAACAUGGCGGCCUUCGAGUUAUGCAGGACCUCAGAUUUCGAUGAAAUUGAUGAUGGAAAUUCUGCUGUCUGCUCUUACCUCCAACUCUUCGUCAUGCUGCUGGACAAGAAGCAGCACGUGCAUGACCUGCGAGAAAGAGGUGUCAUCCAAGGAGGAGGACUCACCAGCAGUGAGACGCUCCUCUUCUUCAUUUGCAUUGGCAAGAACAUGCGGGUCGGAAGGAACUACCUCAAGAUAAUGGUAAAGGUCGAGGACUUCAAGCAGAAGAUGACAUGUUGUGUCAAGCUGUGGCUCUCCAUUAAGAAGAACAGGACUAGAAUCGUGACGGUGAUUUCAGCCAUUGGUGUAGUUAUCGGCAUCUUGUCGUCGCUCCCAGCUCUCAAGCCACGCUAA